GUGCUCACUUCGGCAGUACAUUUACUAAAAUUGUGAACCAUAGAGAGAAGAUUGGCAUGUCCCCUGAGCAAGAAUGACACAAAUUUGUGAAGGGCUCCAUCUUCCC